rnacentral:sRNA from 1 species
UUGAUAUCAUUCUUUUUAAUGAAAAAGUCACAGAGCUAUUACUGCUUAGCCCAAAAAAGGUGCUUGCAGCUAAGCUUGAAGCCCUGAGUUUGGUUCCCACACAUGGUAGAAGGAAUGACCUACUCCCAAAAGUUUUUCCCUGAUCUCCUCCACCUGUGCACCGGAACUGCUAUAAAAUAAAUGAAACUAUAACGAAAAAUGUCUUUCAUAUAUUGGUUUUAUUGUUAGGAGUUUUAGGUACAUUCUUGGUUGAGUCUCUUUUACUCUUGCCUUGACUUAAAUUUGAAAUCCCAACAAUCUUUUUCCUUUGGAAAGAAUGUCCUUAUGUACCCAGGGUACCCCAAUAGCUUUACUGACAUGGCAGGUUCAGUCUUACAGUGUAGUCGUACAGUGUUUAUUUCCUACCUUGUGGCAUUUGCAUUGCCAAGUACUACAUGGUACAAACUACCUCUGAUUCAUUUGCUUGUUCUUUCUGUUAAGUAAUAUGAAAUCAUACAUAAUUAGGGUAUCUAGAUGUUUUUGGACUAUGAUGUGAAACAGUAGGAACAUUGAACUAGCCCUAUGGCAAAAACAUAAGUUAAUAUCUCAUAUGAAAACAAACUAUUAUAAUCAGACUACACUAGCUAGAUCAGUACUAGUUGAGGAUACUUAGCUCCAGCAACAGUAUUGUGUCUGAAACUGCAAUUGUGAUGGGGGCUAGAAACCGUCUACACAAGUUGAAUACAGUAUGAAAAGGGCUGCCACUACUUGUCCUGGUAUCAUUAGUCCCUUACUUCACACACACACACACACACACACACACACACACACACCCCUUCUGAACAAGUCUUGUCUUUCUUUGGUUUACUACUUUGUUCCUGGGGGUGAAUAGUUUCAGAUGUUUGCAUUAAGCUUGUCAUACAUAGGUCCACAGCUUACUAAUGAGGUCAUGGAGCCAUUAUGGGGGUUAUUCUAACUGCCAAGUAUAUAAACUCUAAAUUCAAGAACAAAGAAUAACAUAUUAGGUGGGUCUGUUGGUUUAGUGGAUCCACUAUGAGUUAGGCUAUUGCCAAGACUGUAUUAUCUUCAGCAGAUUUUAUUUAGGUAAGGUUAUUUUAUUUAGGUUCUUUAAUAACAUGGCUUCUUAAUCUUAUUGUACUUGCAGGUCUAAAGUUAGGUAACCUUGUUCCUGUCCCAUUCUGAUUGGAAUAAAUCAUAGACCUAACUGAAAUCAGUGGGAAGACACACAGGGUCCAGUUCUUGGUGGGAGUUGGUGUAUUCCUAUUGCACGAAAGCAUGAGAUACUAAUAGAAAAGAGGAAAUAUCAUUGUAGCUUUAUUGGAAAUUUAAUUUGUUUUAUCUGCUAUCUUCCAAAUCUUUAUAGAACUUUCUUAUUUGACAUGGUUUCCUUUUUAAUCUUGUUACCUUUUUUAUUCACUUAAAAUGUUCUUCACUUGUCAUUUUAAUAAGGAUUAAUCAGAGAUACUGUAUGUUUAACUCUCCAUAGUUAGUAGGAGAUUGUGAUCUUUGGAUUCAGUGCAAUGUCUCUCUCUUAGUAUCUCCAUGUUGCCUUCUUAACUUACUAGAAAGCAAGCUGUCUUGGUUUCUUUUUUCUCUGUUAUAAUUGAUACUUGGCAAGUCACAUAUCAGAGUGUGACAGUAGUUAGCAGUGGUCUCUGCUGAUAUGAAAAUGUUUCUUAUGAGAGUAUUAUAUAGAGAAUUUAAGUUUGUCUGCUUUUUAUUAUCAUCACCAUAUACCAUAAUCUUAGAUAACAUGAGUAGCAGAACACACUUUUCUGUUGGGGAUGUGAACUUCUGUGAAGUUCUCAUUUUCAUAUUCCAAAGCUCAUAGUUAAGAUUGUAUUUUAUCAGAGAGCUAAAGAAAGAUUACUUGCUGUUCUUACAGUGAACAGUAGUGCUGUCCAUUGGAUAUAUUUUUGUUUAUAAGAAAUUAUAGCACUGAGUCUCUUUAAAGUCUUUAGAAAAUCAUGUUUUAAAAACCCUGGGGCUGGAGAGAGAUGACUUAGUGGCUUGUCUGUUUACUGCUCUCGGCAGAGAACCUGUGCUCCCAGAACGCACUGUGAGCAGCUCAUAACCACUUGUAAAUCCAGCUCCAGAGACAUCACGUGAACAUACUCCUUGCCAACACCUUAUGUACAUAAUUAAAAGUAAAAUAAAUCUUUAAAACAAAGGGGAAACCAGAUCUUUUGGAGGUGUUAGAUGGGAUGCCUAAAGCCUACAAAUAUUGAGGCUAAUCUGGAGGAAACUAAAAAUAAAGCAAAACAUAGUUAGUUGCCUAUGUGAACAUUUUAAAUAUUUUUAUAUUUAGUGUCUACAAGUGUGUGUCAUAUCUGUUUAGAAAUGAAGUAAUGAGGUAAUAUACUUAGGUAAGAAGUAGUGACUUUUUGGCUUUUUUAUUGUUUGAGUAGAUGCCAUGCUCAUGAAGAAGAGGGAUUCCUAGAGGGAGCUCCUCCUUACUUUUUUGAAAUUUGUAAUUCAGAGGUUUUGUGGCCUUUGUAUAUUUAACAGAGCUGUCCUAAAUGGUUGGGUGCUUAAAAAGAUUUGAGUGAGGGGGAUGGGUCAUAUUUUGAAAUGUAUAUUUGAAAAGUAAUCUAAAAACUUUUCUGUUCCACAG